CGGCGCUUUCCCGCCGGCGGUGGCGGCUGGCCCGGGAGACAGCCCGGCAGUGAGGCUGGGCCCCGGCGAGGGCGCUGGGGAGCGCGGGACCCCGGAGUCGGGAGGCUGGCACGGAAAGGGCCCGCGCACACGCGCGCCCCUACCCGACGCGGCGUUCCCCGGUGCGUUUUUGUGCCAUUCUGCCCAAGCAGGCCCUGCACCCGGCCCGGGCGGGAGGGCGGGCACCGACCCACUUGCUCUCCGCUGCCUGGAACAAAGGGCGCAGGGUUUAACCUCAGCCGGCUGAGCGUGCAUUUGCAGGCGCCCGCGCAGCCUCUGCCUGUGCAGCUCUGUCUGCUCUAACUGCGAGAGUGAAGCCCUGAGAAGGAAGUGCAGGCAGUGGAUACUCGAACCCCCGUGAAGCCCUCUGUCGCGGGAUUCGCUAACCCUUGCUGCAGAUUCCCCCAAACGUUUCCUUUUUGGUGGAAGCACUUUGCCCGGUUCACGUGCCUCGAGUACCAACUGUGUGCUGGCUGGCGACUCUGCUAGGUUCUGGGGAUAUGGAAGUAAAAGGCAAUCUUUCUGCCAGCAGACCACUCAGUUCAGUGGGGAGGAAAGACAAAUGAGCAGAUAAGACCUAACGCAUGAUAAAUGUUAGGGACGGAGACCCAGGGGGAACAAAGAAGAAAGAUACCCAUCCGACUAGACGUCCAGGAAGGCUUCUCAGAGGAAGUGGCACCCAGGGUACAUCUGGAAGAAGAAGCAGCUGUUGGAGAAGAAGUUGUGGAGUGAUUGAGUCUGAUGAGUACUUUGCCAUCACCUUCCCCUGAGGAGGACCCGUGAAGCUUAGGGGGUGGGGUGGACUGAGAGGGAGUGACUGAGACCAGGUCCCGAAGAUCCUCUGUAUGCUUACAAUGAGUUUGGAUUUUGUCCCUGAGGCAGUGGGGAGGCAGACAGGUUUUAAGGGGAGGGUGGUGUCAUGCCAUGUGCUCUUUCAGAACGAAGGUGUAGCAGCAAGAGUGAGGUCACAGAAAGCAUGGCUCUAAGCCCCAGGGGAUACCAGGGACUUAAGGCAACAGAGUGGAGAAGGAAAGACAAGGUCAGAAUUUUAGGAAGUGGAAUGAACUGCCUGGGACAGAAUGACAGGUUGAGGAACAGGGAAUUGUCACGGAGCCUGAUCAAGGUUCUGGUUGGAUGAGAGUUAUGUGUGGUGGAUUUGUAAGUCAAUUUGGGGACUAUGGGGAGGAAGGAAUGGGUUUGAGUGAAGGUAGAAUGAUGGUAAACACUUGUAGAUUCUUUACGGUGUGCUGGAGUCUAUGCAAUACACAAUUCUGUGUUAUUUAAUCUCUGUAACAGGCUUCUGUUUGAGGUGGCUAUCAGUAAUGCCUUGUUUCAUAGUUGAGGAAGUGAGGCCCGAUUCUAUUAACAUGCCCAGAGCCACAUGAUUUCCUUCUGGGGCUGGUGGAGUUCGAGGUGCCCCUUGGGCACAUAAGUGAAGAUGUCUAGGAGGCAGUUGGGUAAACACCUGUGGAGUUAGGAGAGCUGGCUGAGAGUAAGCGGAGACCUGGGAGUCAUUAGCGCACAGCCAGGGGUGGGAGGAUCUAAAAUAGGGAAAGCAGGCGGGGAACAGAGGUAUGGAAGGGGGAAGAAGCUGGGAGAAGAAACUGAGAAAGAAGAGACCAGGAGACCAGGUCAGCCCUGUCUCGUGCUGAAGAUAGCAGGUGGCGAGACAUGGACUGGAAAGUACCUGACAGCAUCUAGGAUCCCAGGAGGGAACGCUGGCAGGAGUGGGUGUGGACAGAAGCCAAACUGACGUGCAUCCCAGAGGGGAAGGCAAAAGGAGAUAUUUCACGGACACUUGGCUGUGAAGGCAGGUUGUAAGAGCAUCAAGAGAAAGCUGCAGGAUGAAGGAAGGGACAUGCAGGGACAGCAGCCUCCUGCUCAUUUUGGAGACAGAGAGCCCUAUGUGCCCUGGGUGGUCGGAAACGUUCUCCCAUUUCUGCCCCAAAUCCACUGCAACUUGGUGAGACUUAUCUUCCAGCCUUUGAGAUGAACUUUCUUACCCAGGCCGCCCACAUGUCUGCUCCUUCAGCUCCUGGAGUCUCUCAGCUUGAGGUCCUGUGAAAUGAUCCAGGGCCCAUGACCAAACUCAGGCAGAGCACUGGACAGGGAGCAAGACUCAGAUAACGGAAGAUUGAUAAUAACUAACAUUUUGUGAAGGUAAACAGAAGUUCUAUCGAGAAGGACUCAGGAUAUAGGUCUACAGACUGAAGGAAACAGACCAAGGAGAACAUUUCUUCCUUUCUUUUUUGGGUUAAGUCUAAUUUUAGGAAGCAGGAAACAGAUACUUAAUAAAAAUGGAUGUUUCUAAGCCAAUCGUAUGGGUGCGUGUGUGUGCGUGCAUCUGUGUGUGUGUGUGUGUGUGUGUGUGUAUGUGUGUGUGUGUGUGUCUGUGAGAAACUUUUUUUCUCCUGGUCUCAUGCAAUGUCGAAAAAAUUGAGUGAGCAAAUUGAGGCUUUUUUCUUUCAGUGGUAUUGUUUUUAUAUCUAAAACUCACCUAUGAAAAGUUGGUUUCUACUCUCACUCCCAGAACCAGGGUACUGGCUUAAAGACACUGUAAUGUAGUGAUCUAAGCAAAGGCUCUGAAGCCAGGCUGCCUGGGUUCAAAUCCUGACACUACCACUUAUUAAACCUAUAAAUUGAGGGACAUUUGUCAUCUAUAAAAUAAGGUUAAUAGUAAUAGUGCCAACCUCAUGAGAGGUAUUUUUUUUUUAAGAUUUAUUUAUUUGAUACAUGUAGAGAGAGUGCACAGGCACUCAUGUGCACAAGCGGGGAAGGGGCAGAGGGAGAGGGACAAGCAGAC